rnacentral:rRNA from 1 species
GCUUAACCGGAGAAGUGCAUCGGAAACUGGGAGACUUGAGUGCAGAAGAGGACAGUGGAACUCCAUGUGUAGCGGUGGAAUGCGUAGAUAUAUGGAAGAACACCAGUGGCGAAGGCGGCUGUCUAGUCUGUAACUGACGCUGAGGCUCGAAAGCAUGGGUAGCGAACAGGAUUAGAUACCCUGGUAGUCCAUGCCGUAAACGAUGAGUGCUAAGUGUUGGAGGGUUUCCGCCCUUCAGUGCUGCAGCUAACGCAUUAAGCACUCCGCCUGGGGAGUACGACCGCAAGGUUGAAACUCAAAGGAAUUGACGGGGGCCCGCACAAGCGGUGGAGCAUGUGGUUUAAUUCGAAGCUACGCGAAGAACCUUACCAGGUCUUGACAUCUUCUGCCAAUCUUAGAGAUAAGACGUUCCCUUCAGGGACAGAAUGACAGGUGGUGCAUGGUUGUCGUCAGCUCGUGUCGUGAGAUGUUGGGUUAAGUCCCGCAACGAGCGCAACCCUUAUUAUCAGUUGCCAGCAUUCAGUUGGGCACUCUGGUGAGACUGCCGGUGACAAACCGGAGGAAGGUGGGGAUGACGUCAAAUCAUCAUGCCCCUUAUGACCUGGGCUACACACGUGCUACAAUGGACGGUACAACG